GGGGGGAUACCAAAGUGGCCAACUGGGGCAGACUGUAAAUCUGUUGUCGAACGACUUCGGAGGUUCGAAUCCUUCUCCCCCCAC
rnacentral:tRNA from 1 species